GACUAGUGCCUCUGUAUUUGUUUUAUUCAGAAAAAAUGGAAGGAACUACAGAUGGAAGAAAGGAAAGAGGAGAAAGAGAACAAGGUCUCUGUUUAUGGGCACCUCUGUUUGGUGAAGAUUGAGGAGAAACAUCGUGGAUUCUGAUUGUGACUUGAUUGAGCUGGAUGUUAUCCUUGGAGGAGAGCUAGUGGAGCUCAUGGCCAGAGUACCUAGCAAAUUUUCAAAGACCUUGUGACUUAUGUUUACUUGCUUGACAAUGAUAUUCCUGCAAGGAGCAUGAGACCUUGUCUUCCACAGAGCAAUUUAGGACCAUCAGUGUUACAGAGGCUCCAACCAGCUUGCACAGCAAUUUCUCUUACCCUUCAAGCUCUUCUGCAAAGAGGUGGAGUCUCCCUCCCUUCCCUCUUGAAUGGGG
rnacentral:lncRNA from 10 species